GAUGAACGCUGGCGGCGUGCCUAAUACAUGCAAGUCGAGCGAACAGAUGCGGAGCUUGCUCCUCUGACGUUAGCGGCGGACGGGUGAGUAACACGUGGAUAAUCCACCUAUAAGUCUGGGAUCACUUCGGGAAACCGGAUCUAAUACCGGAUAAUAUAUUGAACCGCAUGGUUCAUUAGUGAAAGACGGUUUUGCUGUCAGUUCUAGAUGGAUCCGCGCCGCAUUAGCUAGUUGGUAAGGUAACGGCUUACCAAGGCAACGAUGCGUAUCCGACCUGAGAGGGUGGUCGGCCACACGGGAGCUGGGACAGGGUCCAGACGCCUACGGGAGGCAGCAGUAGGGAAUCUUCCGCAAUGGGCGGAAGCCUGGCGGAGCAACGCCGCGUGAGUGAUGAAGGUCUUCGGAUCGUAAAGCUCUGUUAUUAGGGAAGAACAAAUGUGUAAGUAACUAUACACGUCUUGACGGUACCUAAUCAGAAAGCCACGGCUAACUACGUG
rnacentral:rRNA from 1 species